GAGUUUGAUCCUGGCUCAGAUUGAACGCUGGCGGCAUGCCUUACACAUGCAAGUCGAACGGCAGCACGGGAGCUUGCUCCUGGUGGCGAGUGGCGAACGGGUGAGUAAUGCAUCGGAACGUAUCCUGGAGUGGGGGGAUAACGUAGCGAAAGUUACGCUAAUACCGCAUAUUCUGUGAGCAGGAAAGCGGGGGACCUUCGGGCCUCGCGCUCUUGGAGCGGCCGAUGUCGGAUUAGCUAGUUGGUGAGGUAAAGGCUCACCAAGGCGACGAUCCGUAGCAGGUCUGAGAGGAUGAUCUGCCACACUGGAACU
rnacentral:rRNA from 1 species